GAAAUGUAAAGAAAAUAUAAAAGCUGCUAACUUUUUAUAAUAGCGGUUAAAAUCCGUUAACAUUUCUUCU
rnacentral:tRNA from 1 species